AAGGAUCGGCUAACUCCGUGCCAGCAGCCGCGGUAAUACGGAGGAUCCAAGCGUUAUCCGGAUUCAUUGGGUUUAAAGGGUCCGUAGGCGGAUCUUUAAGUCAGUGGUGAAAGCCGACAGCUCAACUGUCGAACUGCCAUUGAUACUGGAAACCUUGAGUACAAAUGAAGUAGGCGGAAUGAGUCAUGUAGCGGUGAAAUGCAUAGAUAUGACUCAGAACACCGAUUGCGAAGGCAGCUUACUAACAUGUAACUGACGCUGAGGGACGAAAGCGUGGGGAGCGAACAGGAUUAGAUACCCUGGUAGUCCACGCCGUAAACGAUCAUCACUCGCUGUUGGCGAUAUACUGUCAGCGGCCAAGCGAAAGUA
rnacentral:rRNA from 1 species